rnacentral:rRNA from 1 species
UACAGAGGUCUCAAGCGUUGUUCGGAAUCAUUGGGCGUAAAGAGCGUGUAGGCGGCCCGGUAAGUCCGCUGUGAAAGUCGGGGGCUCAACCCUCGAAUGCCGGUGGAUACUGUCGGGCUAGAGUGCGGAAGAGGCGAGUGGAAUUCCUGGUGUAGCGGUGAAAUGCGCAGAUAUCAGGAGGAACACCAAUUGCGAAGGCAGCUCGCUGGGACGUAACUGACGCUGAGACGCGAAAGCGUGGGGAGCAAACAGG